rnacentral:rRNA from 1 species
UACGUAGGGGCCUAGCGUUGUCCGGAUUUAUUGGGCGUAAAGAGCUCGUAGGCGGCUUGGUUAGUCAGGUGUGAAAGCCCCAAGCUUAACUUGGGAACUGCCAUUGAUACUGAUGGUCUUGAGUACAUUUGAGGUGGGCGGAAUGUGUCAUGUAGCGGUGAAAUGCUUAGAUAUGACACAGAACACCGAUUGCGAAGGCAGCUCACUAAACUGUAACUGACGCUGGGGCACGAAAGCGUGGGGAGCAAACAGG